rnacentral:lncRNA from 1 species
UUCAAGUACGUUUUUCAUUAUUUUCAAUUCAUACCCUCAUGUAUAAAUUCUCUUUCUGACUUAAGCAUUGGAGGGAUGACAAUGAUACACCUCGACGCUUUUGUUUCAAGUAUUGGAAGAUCUCGCUAGCAAUCAAUCUCAGUCAUCAAGCACAUCAAGCUCGGAGAUAACAGGUGCGAUUUUUUAUUUUUAUUUUUUUGGUAUCAUCAAGUACUAAUCACAAUGUUCGGAGUGAAAAUCAAUUAUUCUUUUUGAUAAAUAACAUUCCGUCCAAGAUAAAGUUUAUCUCAAAAUCGAAUGUGGAGUUUGACAUUAAUCAAGAGUCUUCAGCCCCUUUCCUUCACAGAGUUACAUUCAACAAACACUCGACAUCGAUGAGGCAAUUGUGUGUUUUCUCCACUAUAAAUGUAAAGAAGGGUACAGCUAAAUGUUGGUGCAACAUUUUAUUUUAUUUUAAUGCGAAGUCGAAGGAACAUAGUGGGGGAAAUAGUUCAAUGUCUAGUUAUCUUGUCCUAAAAGAUAAGAGUUGAAAAUGGACUUUCUUCGUGUUAUAAUGUACCAACACGUGACACUAAUAUCAUUAAUAGUGUCUCCAUAAUCUCCAUUUUAUUACAUUUAAAAGUCUUACUCCGUGUCCAAAUCGGUUUUGGAUGGUAAAAUUUGUGCCAUGUGUUUACGAAUUUUGAUUACUUCAAGACCGAUUUUACGUAGUUAAGAAUGAAUGGAGUAACUGAUUUAUCAGAAGAAUUGAAAAUAUGUCAUGUGAAUCAAUUUAAAGGCAGAACUAUCUUACUAAUUGACCGACCACGGUUUGAACAUACUUUUUUUUUAUUACUUUUAGACUAUUUUAGUUGAUUUUGGGUUUUGUCAAUGGCCACUAUACUCUAUGAUACAUGAUCGUGUCUCUUCGAUUGGUUUUUGCUUAAUUUUCAAGCAAAAAGGUACAAUACCGUCAUCCAAUUCAGCUGGAAACGUGUCUUCACUUGGAGAAAUCGGAUUGUAAUUUUUUUCCUUCUAUUAUUCUGUAUUCACAUUAUGUAAGUCUAAUCAUUGUCGUUAUGCAAAGUCCAUAUACAAGUCAACCUGCUCGGAGUCUAAAAAGUGAACCAUCGUUCGAGUUUAUUCAAUGAUCAUAAAAAAGAGAUAUUAGAGAAAAGAGAGAAUUACCUUAAUUUAUUAUUUUUAUUA